GGGGGUGAACGGUCUCGACGGUGACAGUGUCCUUUUCAGGCAGCAGGCUGCGGAUGGUCGUGGGCCGCAUAUAAAUCCGACCGCUUUAAACUGCCAAUAACAUGGCAAUGGCAACCUGCUAAAGGUUACCCGGCGCCCCCGGCAUGUUCGCCGGCCGGGGUGAGGCCGUCAUCAGGCGGGCUUGCGCGGAAGAGCGUUUCCCUGUUUCGCGUGAGAAAACAGGAAACUGCCCCGGCCGUAUUUCGUCUGCGGAAGACGGCCACGGGGGAGACCUAAAACGCGGACUAAGCCUGUAGAUACCCGGAAGGUGCUUUAUCGGACGCGGGUUCGACUCCCGCCACCUCCAAUA
rnacentral:tmRNA from 1 species